rnacentral:rRNA from 1 species
UGCGUAGGUGGGUUGGUAAGUCAGUGGUGAAAUCCCCGAGCUUAACUUGGGAACUGCCAUUGAUACUAUUAAUCUUGAAUACCGUGGAGGUCAGCGGAAUAUGUCAUGUAGUGGUGAAAUGCUUAGAUAUGACAUAGAACACCAAUUGCGAAGGCAGCUGGCUACGCGAAUAUUGACACUGAUGCACGAAAGCGUGGGGAUCAAACA